CAUGCGCCGGUCCUGAGGGAGUAGCCGACCCGCGAGAAAGCGGGGGUCUGCGUCAACAUACUUGGCGGUUCCGCCAUGGCGCAGACGACACACUGUCUGGCAAGACUCAUGAUUCGUUGUGACCGGCGGGGGCUGCGUCAUGGCGGGUCAUGCGUCGCGUGCAGCCCCCUCGGAG
rnacentral:sRNA from 2 species